UCUUCACCAUGGUGUUUUUGACAUAAGUAGCUAUGAAAUUCACCAUGGUGGGUAAA
rnacentral:pre_miRNA from 1 species